AAACAUCAUCCCAUCGGUUUUCCGAUGACAAUGGAUUUGGGUGUUGCCGUCCGGCUCGCCUUAAAAGUGUUAGUGGUUUCUAGAUCGAAUCUGGCGUAAUAAGUUUCGCUGGCCUAGGUCAAAGGCUGCUCAUAACCCGUCUUCUGACAUCUUUUUG
rnacentral:misc_RNA from 1 species